rnacentral:rRNA from 1 species
CCUACGGGUGGCUGCAGUGGGGGAUAUUGCACAAUGGGCGGAAGCCUGAUGCAGCGACGCCGCGUGGGGGAUGAAGCUCCUCGGCGCGUAAAGCUCUGUCAGCAGGGAAGAAAAGGACCUUACCUGAAGAACAAGGCAUGGACAAUACCGUGACAGCAGGCGCGGUAACACGCAGGGGGCGAGCGUUAACCGGAUUUACUGGGGGUAACGGGGGCGGAGGCGGCAUGGCAAGCCAGGGGUGAAAGCCGCGGGCUCAACGCGGGAACUGCGCUGGGAACUGGGUGGCUGGAGUGCAGGAGAGGCAAGCGGAAUUCCUGGUGUAGCGGUGAAAUGCGUAGAUAUCAGGAGGAACACCGGUGGCGAAGGCGACCUGCUGGA